GGCUCAGAUUGAACGCUGGCGGCAUGCCUUACACAUGCAAGUCGAACGGCAGCGGACCUUCGGGUGCCGGCGAGUGGCGAACGGGUGAGUAAUAUAUCGGAACGUACCUUUCAGUGGGGAUAACGUAGCGAAAGUUACGCUAAUACCGCAUAUUCUGUGAGCAGGAAAGCAGGGGAUCGCAAGACCUUGCGCUGAUUGAGCGGCCGAUAUCAGAUUAGCUAGUUGGUGAGGUAAAGGCUCACCAAGGCGACGAUCUGUAGCGGGUCUGAGAGGAUGAUCCGCCACACUGGAACUGAGACACGGUCCAGACUCCUACGGGAGGCAGCAGUGGGGAAUUUUGGACAAUGGGCGCAAGCCUGAUCCAGCCAUGCCGCGUGAGUGAAGAAGGCCUUCGGGUUGUAAAGCUCUUUCGGCCGGGAAGAAAUCGCACGGGUUAAUACCCUGUGUGGAUGACGGUACCGGAAUAAGAAGCACCGGCUAACUACGUG
rnacentral:rRNA from 1 species